rnacentral:lncRNA from 1 species
UUUAAUGCAAAUCCAAUAUUUUCAAAUAUUCACACAUAAUAUGAUUAUAAAUCCGAUUCGAUUCAAAACACUCGUAACUCAACAGCCUCGACUAUGACCAACGUUUAACCCCCAUUGGCGGGGUCCACAGAAUACCAGCGCACAACCCCCACUGGCAGGGUCCACAAAUACCAGUGCACAACCCCCACUGGCAGGGUCCACAAACACCAGCGCACAACUCCCACUGGCAGGGUCCACUGAGUACCAACAUAUAAUCCCCAUUAGCGGGGCCCACUGAAACAU